CCUACGGGAGGCAGCAGUGAGGAAUAUUGGUCAAUGGACGAGAGUCUGAACCAGCCAAGUAGCGUGAAGGAUGGCUGCCCUAUGGGUUGUAAACUUCUUUUAUAAAGGAAUAAAACGAGGCACGUGUGCCUUUUUGCAUGUACUUUAUGAAUAAGGAUCGGCUAACUCCGUGCCAGCAGCCGCGGUAAUACGGAGGAUCCGAGCGUUAUCCGGAUUUAUUGGGUUUAAAGGGAGCGUAGAUGGGUUGUAAAGCCCGUUGUGAAAAUUUGUGGCUCAACCGUAAAAUUGCAAUUGAUACUGGCAGUCUUGAGUAUGGUUGAGGUAGGCGGAAUUCGUGGUGUAGCGGUGAAAUGCUUAGAGAUCAAGAAGAACCCCGAUUGCGAAGGCAGCUUACUAAAACAUGACUGACGUUGAUGCUCGAAAGUGUGGGUAGCAAACAGGAUUAGAUACCCCAGUAGUC
rnacentral:rRNA from 1 species